AUUGAACGCUGGCGGCAGGCCUAACACAUGCAAGUCGAGCGGAUGAAGGGAGCUUGCUCCUGGAUUCAGCGGCGGACGGGUGAGUAAUGCCUAGGAAUCUGCCUGGUAGUGGGGGAUAACGUCCGGAAACGGGCGCUAAUACCGCAUACGUCCUGAGGGAGAAAGUGGGGGAUCUUCGGACCUCACGCUAUCAGAUGAGCCUAGGUCGGAUUAGCUAGUUGGUGGGGUAAAGGCCUACCAAGGCGACGAUCCGUAACUGGUCUGAGAGGAUGAUCAGUCACACUGGAACUUGGACACGGUCCUGGCGCCUACGGGAGGGAGCAGUGGGGAAUAUUAGACAGUGGGCGGAAACCUGAUACAGCCAUGCCGAGUGUGUGAAGAAGGUCUUCGGAUUGUAAAGCACUUUAAGUUGGGGGGAAGGGCAGUAAGUUAAUACCUUGCUGUUUUGACGUUACCAACAGAAUAAGCACCGGCUAACUUCGUG
rnacentral:rRNA from 1 species